rnacentral:rRNA from 1 species
UUAAGCGACUAAGCGUACACGGUGGAUGCCCUGGCAGUCAGAGGCGAUGAAGGACGUGCUAAUCUGCGAAAAGCGUCGGUAAGGUGAUAUGAACCGUUACAGCCGGCGAUGUCCGAAUGGGGAAACCCAGUGCAAUUCGUUGCACUAUCGUUAACUGAAUACAUAGGUUAACGAGGCGAACCGGGGGAACUGAAACAUCUAAGUACCCCGAGGAAAAGAAAUCAACCGAGAUUCCCCCAGUAGCGGCGAGCGAACGGGGAGCAGCCCAGAGUCUGAAUCAGCUUGUGUGUUAGUGGAACGGUCUGGAAAGUCCGACGGUACAGGGUGAUAGUCCCGUACACCAAAAUGCACAGGUUGUGAACUCGAAGAGUAGGGCGGGACACGUGGUAUCCUGUCUGAAUAUGGGGGGACCAUCCUCCAAGGCUAAAUACUCCUGACUGACCGAUAGUGAACCAGUACCGUGAGGGAAAGGCGAAAAGAACCCCGGCGAGGGGAGUGAAAAAGAACCUGAAACCGUGUACGUACAAGCAGUGGGAGCACCUUCGGGUGUGACUGCGUACCUUUUGUAUAAUGGGUCAGCGACUUAUAUUCUGUAGCAAGGUUAACCGUAUAGGGGAGCCGCAGGGAAACCGAGUCUUAACUGGGCGUUAAGUUGCAGGGUAUAGACCCGAAACCCGGUGAUCUAGCCAUGGGCAGGUUGAAGGUUGGGUAACACUAACUGGAGGACCGAACCGACUAAUGUUGAAAAAUUAGCGGAUGACUUGUGGCUGGGGGUGAAAGGCCAAUCAAACCGGGAGAUAGCUGGUUCUCCCCGAAAGCUAUUUAGGUAGCGCCUCGUGAACUCAUCUUCGGGGGUAGAGCACUGUUUCGGCUAGGGGGUCAUCCCGACUUACCAACCCGAUGCAAACUACGAAUACCGAAGAAUGUUAUCACGGGAGACACACGGCGGGUGCUAACGUCCGUCGUGAAGAGGGAAACAACCCAGACCGCCAGCUAAGGUCCCAAAGUCAUGGUUAAGUGGGAAACGAUGUGGGAAGGCACAGACAGCCAGGAUGUUGGCUUAGAAGCAGCCAUCAUUUAAAGAAAGCGUAAUAGCUCACUGGUCGAGUCGGCCUGCGCGGAAGAUGUAACGGGGCUAAACCAUGCACCGAAGCUGCGGCAGCGACACUAUGUGUUGUUGGGUAGGGGAGCGUUCUGUAAGCCUGCGAAGGUGUGCUGUGAGGCAUGCUGGAGGUAUCAGAAGUGCGAAUGCUGACAUAAGUAACGAUAAAGCGGGUGAAAAGCCCGCUCGCCGGAAGACCAAGGGUUCCUGUCCAACGUUAAUCGGGGCAGGGUGAGUCGACCCCUAAGGCGAGGCCGAAAGGCGUAGUCGAUGGGAAACAGGUUAAUAUUCCUGUACUUGGUGUUACUGCGAAGGGGGGACGGAGAAGGCUAUGUUAGCCGGGCGACGGUUGUCCCGGUUUAAGCAUGUAGGCUGGUUGUCCAGGCAAAUCCGGAUAAUCAAGGCUGAGGUGUGAUGACGAGGCACUACGGUGCUGAAGUAACAAAUGCCCUGCUUCCAGGAAAAGCCUCUAAGCAUCAGGUAACAUCAAAUCGUACCCCAAACCGACACAGGUGGUCAGGUAGAGAAUACCAAGGCGCUUGAGAGAACUCGGGUGAAGGAACUAGGCAAAAUGGUGCCGUAACUUCGGGAGAAGGCACGCUGGUGUGUAGGUGAAGUCCCUGCGGAUGGAGCUGAGACCAGUCGAAGAUACCAGCUGGCUGCAACUGUUUAUUAAAAACACAGCACUGUGCAAACACGAAAGUGGACGUAUACGGUGUGACGCCUGCCCGGUGCCGGAAGGUUAAUUGAUGGGGUUAUCCGUAAGGAGAAGCUCUUGAUCGAAGCCCCGGUAAACGGCGGCCGUAACUAUAACGGUCCUAAGGUAGCGAAAUUCCUUGUCGGGUAAGUUCCGACCUGCACGAAUGGCGUAAUGAUGGCCAGGCUGUCUCCACCCGAGACUCAGUGAAAUUGAACUCGCUGUGAAGAUGCAGUGUACCCGCGGCAAGACGGAAAGACCCCGUGAACCUUUACUAUAGCUUGACACUGAACAUUGAGCCUUGAUGUGUAGGAUAGGUGGGAGGCUUUGAAGCGUGGACGCCAGUCUGCGUGGAGCCAACCUUGAAAUACCACCCUUUAAUGUUUGAUGUUCUAACGUUGGCCCCUGACCGGGGUUGCGGACAGUGUCUGGUGGGUAGUUUGACUGGGGCGGUCUCCUCCCAAAGCGUAACGGAGGAGCACGAAGGUUAGCUAAUCCUGGUCGGACAUCAGGAGGUUAGUGCAAUGGCAUAAGCUAGCUUGACUGCGAGCGUGACGGCGCGAGCAGGUGCGAAAGCAGGUCAUAGUGAUCCGGUGGUUCUGAAUGGAAGGGCCAUCGCUCAACGGAUAAAAGGUACUCCGGGGAUAACAGGCUGAUACCGCCCAAGAGUUCAUAUCGACGGCGGUGUUUGGCACCUCGAUGUCGGCUCAUCACAUCCUGGGGCUGAAGUAGGUCCCAAGGGUAUGGCUGUUCGCCAUUUAAAGUGGUACGCGAGCUGGGUUUAGAACGUCGUGAGACAGUUCGGUCCCUAUCUGCCGUGGGCGCUGGAGAAUUGAGGGGGGCUGCUCCUAGUACGAGAGGACCGGAGUGGACGCAUCACUGGUGUUCGGGUUGUCAUGCCAAUGGCACUGCCCGGUAGCUAAAUGCGGAAGAGAUAAGUGCUGAAAGCAUCUAAGCACGAAACUUGCCCCGAGAUGAGUUCUCCCUGAGACUAUAAGUCUCCUGAAGGAACGUUGAAGACGAUGACGUUGAUAGGCCGGGUGUGUAAGCGCAGCGAUGCGUUGAGCUAACCGGUACUAAUGAACCGUGAGGCUUAACCUU